rnacentral:rRNA from 1 species
UACAGAGGUCCCAAGCGUUGUUCGGAUUCACUGGGCGUAAAGGGUGCGCAGGUGGCUUGGCAAGUUUGAUGUGAAAGCUCAGGGCUUAACCCUGAAAUGGCAUUGAAUACUGCCGGGCUGGAGGUUUGGAGGGGGGACUGGAAUUCUCGGUGUAGCAGUGAAAUGCGUAGAUAUCGAGAGGAACACCAGUGGCGAAGGCGAGUCCCUGGACAACACCUGACACUGAGGCACGAAAGCUAGGGGAGCAAACAGG